rnacentral:lncRNA from 1 species
ACACUACAUUUCUCUUCAAGUGUACAUACAAGUACACUGGGGACAAAGCAGCUGUUUUUCCUUUAGAAGGCAGAUUUUCUUUUUCCAGAAAGAAGUUGUCAGAACUGGGCAUAGAGAAGGUUCUUUUUGUUCCAUUUCCAUGUGGCAGAGUCAGAUUGCCUGGGUGAAUUCAUACAAAGCUUUAGCACAUCCCGAUUCUAGAGGAGAUGAACGAACCACGUGGAUGCCCUCAAGAUGUGUACGACCAUGGAACGGGAGACUGGAGGGACCCAUGGAUCCAACCAUGGAUGGGGUUACCCCUGUAUGAGCCAGUUGAAUCUGAAUGCGAGGAUGGAAUGAGGACCGACCAGAGUCACAAUGCUUAAUGGACCAAUGCUUUCUGACUGAGCUCCUCUCUACCCUGAAUACAAGAGACCCUAAUAGUUAGGCAGGAAUAUCAUCGCCCCUAUUCAGCAUGAAGAAGUUACAGAAAAUGGACCUUCAUCCUUCUGCAACUCCUAGGAUUAAGGGUCCUCUUGUAAAAGGGAAAGGGGAGAUAUGUGCGAAACAUUCAAACCAGAGCGACUCCAUUUUGAAUAAGGGCUAAGAAAAAUGAAGCUGGAGCACUGAGCAGCAAUUAAGGGCUGCACAGCCUGCAAUUGCCUUGCUCAGUUAAAAGAGGCCACAUUUUAUGCUAGUAAUAAUGAUAGCUAGUAAUAAUGAUAGUAAUAAUGAUACCUUCUCCUUUACAAAAAAGAGAAGGGGAGCAUGUUGGGAAAAAGCUGAGUGUUGGGAAAAAAGCUGAGGCAGGGCUUGCAUGUCUGACAUAAUGUCCUCUGGAAUGUGUCUAGACUUGCUGGCUCCUUGCUUCUAGCCCUCCCAGGCUCCUAGAUCAAUUGUAUGCCCAUUAUCUCAAGUAGCAGAACAUGUUCCAUAUAAAUGCUAAACUGUCACAGCUGUAGAUCAUGUGCCUGCCCUUUUGACCCCCACAUUCUCAUCAGCUGUUUCUUUGUUGGAUUACCAAUAAAUAGCAUGGCUCCCAGAGCUCGGGGCCUUUGCAGCCUCCACAAUUGCGAUGGCCCCCUGGUCCCACUUUCUCUCUCAAACUGUCUUUUUCUCAAUCCUUUGACUCCACCGGACUUCGUCGCCCCCAUGACCUGGUGUUGGGUGUGAUCACCCCAACAAACAGGAGCUGGGUAAAAUGAGGCUGAAACCUACUGGGCUGCAUUCCCAGAUGGUUAAGGCAUUCUAAGUCACAGGAUGAGAUACGAGGUCAGCACAAAAUACAGGUCAUAAAGACUUUGCUCAUAAAACAAGUUGCAGUAAAGGAGCUGGCCCAAACAUACCAAAACCAGCUGACCAGAGGUCACUCUGGUUGUCCUCACUGCUAUACUCUCACCAGCACCAUGACAAUUUACAAAUGCCAUGGUGAUGUCAGGACAUUACCCCACAUGGUCUAAAAAGGGGAAUCAGGAAUAACCCAAGCUUUGAUGAGCAUAUCAUCAAGAAAUGACCAUAAAAAUGGGCAACCAGCAGCUCUCAGGGCUGCUCUGUCUGUGGAGUAGCCAUUCUUUUAUUCCUUUACUUUCUUAAUAAACUUGCUUUCACUUUGCACUGUGGACUCGCUCUGAAUUAUUUUGUGUGCAAGAUCCAAGAACCCUCUCUUGGGGUCUGGAUUGGGACCUUUGUCCUGUAACAUAUUUCUGGCAGCCCAUAGGGGACUAUAGUGCAGAAACCCUGACCCAAUGGCUACCUUUGGGUAAGUGUUGGUGUCCUGUAACAUAUUUCUGGCGAACCACAGAAGGGAUGAUACUGAAGAGACCCCCGACUCAUAGGAAAAUCAUCUGCAUGCACCGACUGGCUGACUUUGGGUAAGUGGAGUGCAUAUACUCAGGUAAAGAAUGGGAUUGGGUUAGAGGCCCAACUUAGGAGAGUUAAUGUCUCUCCUUAAGACAGAGUGGGUUAGAGGCCCCUCUUCAUAAAAGGCAAGGAUGCUUGACCAACGUUGGGUUAAAGGCCCAACUUAUGAGGGUUAGAGUCCUUUCUAAGAUUUAGGGGGUUAGAGGCCCCAUUUGGUAAAGUCCCUC